UACAUCACUUAAACUUUAGACUUCUUAAGUGAAUGAAAGUUAUUAGAAGAAAUAUACACUGAAACUCAUUUCUUAAAUUCAUGUGAAAACAAGUGAAGACACCACAACAGAAAAUUCUGGUUUCAGGGGAGAAGUUAAAGGUCGGUUAUCUUACCAUAUUUCCUAUUUACAUUUUCAGUUCAACUUAUAAUCAUAAGAGAAUAUAUAUUAGAUUCAAUACCUGUCUCACCAUUUUCUUUUACAAUUUUUUAAAACAGAUAUAACAUUUUGAGAAAUUUUGAAUAUGCCAAACUAUUGUUUUAUUGUUUUUGAAAAAACAUUUCUUCCUCCAUCUCCUCUAUAUCACAAUUAUUCACUACAUAAAUUUUCGAUCUCCAUAUUAGCAAUUUAAAAUGAACAUAAAAUUUAGAAAAUAAAAACCAAAAAUGUUUUCAGAAAAUAAACGGGGCUAAAAUUGCUCGUAUCUCAGCCACAUGGCGGAUAACCCCAGAAGAUGGAAACAAAUAUUCGAACUUGUUCAAAUGUAAACACUAGAAAAGAAGCCACUAAAGAUUGUUUUCAUUCUCAAAUCAAUUCUGUAAAUCUACUGAAAGACAGUAUAUCUCCCAUUCCUGACAAGCAUAAUAUGUGUGAGAAUAUAUGAUUAAAUCUAUUAUGAAAUUUAAAUAUCACACUGUAGCACCAUGCUACAACUAAAUAUGGUUCUGAAAAAUACAUAAAAAAAAGGGCAAUCAAAUUAUAUAGCAAAAGUAACUUUAACUUGAUGAACUGCAGAUAAAGAAAGAGUUCAUAUCAUGAAUCAUUGCAUCAGUCUCGUGCAUAUAUUAGAGACUGAAAAGUUCGCAAGAGUUGCAUUGCCUGAAUAAAAAAAGAUGGUACCUGAAUAGGAUGUUCUGCUAAAAUACAAAAUUCACUUGUUUUGGUACACAGAAUUGAAUGCUCGGUGAAAACUGUUCCUGGAAUUUACAAGGAAAGAGAAAGAAAAAAAAUCAAUUUUAACUGAAAAUAGAGCAAAUGAAGAAAGACGACAUUGUAAACGCAAUUUAGCAUAUUUUCGGUACAGAACAAGAAUGAUGCAAUUUAGCAUCAUUCUUGUUACAUGGCAUCCAGCAUGCGAUGUCAUCUUAAGUUAAUUACCUAUUACUGUGCAGGUGCUGCAGCUCACAUAAUCUAACAUCAUCAUCAUUGUUCAAACUGCAAUUGUUGAGAAUAACCGACAACCUUCUUAAGUAGAGGGAUGAGGCC
rnacentral:lncRNA from 1 species